GACGAACGCUGGCGGCGUGCCUAAUACAUGCAAGUCGAGCGCAGGAAGCCGGCGGAUCCCUUCGGGGUGAAGCCGGUGGAAUGAGCGGCGGACGGGUGAGUAACACGUGGGCAACCUACCUUGUAGACUGGGAUAACUCCGGGAAACCGGGGCUAAUACCGGAUGAUCAUUUGGAUCGCAUGAUCCGAAUGUAAAAGUGGGGAUUUAUCCUCACACUGCAAGAUGGGCCCGCGGCGCAUUAGCUAGUUGGUAAGGUAAUGGCUUACCAAGGCGACGAUGCGUAGCCGACCUGAGAGGGUGAUCGGCCACACUGGAACUGAGACACGGUCCAGACUCCUACGGGAGGCAGCAGUAGGGAAUCAUCCGCAAUGGGCGAAAGCCUGACGGUGCAACGCCGCGUGAACGAUGAAGGUUUUCGGAUCGUAAAGUUCUGUUAUGAGGGAAGAACAAGUGCCGUUCGAAUAGGUCGGCACCUUGACGGUACCUCACGAGAAAGCCCCGGCUAACUACGUGCCAGCAGCCGCGGUAAUACGUAGGGGGCAAGCGUUGUCCGGAAUUAUUGGGCGUAAAGCGCGCGCAGGCGGUCUCUUAAGUCUGAUGUGAAAGCCCACGGCUCAACCGUGGAGGGUCAUUGGAAACUGGGGGACUUGAGUGUAGGAGAGGAAAGUGGAAUUCCACGUGUAGCGGUGAAAUGCGUAGAUAUGUGGAGGAACACCAGUGGCGAAGGCGAC
rnacentral:rRNA from 1 species